rnacentral:rRNA from 1 species
UACGAAGGGGGCUAGCGUUGCUCGGAAUCACUGGGCGUAAAGCGCACGUAGGCGGAUUGCUAAGUCAGGGGUGAAAUCCUGGAGCUCAACUCCAGAACUGCCCUUGAUACUGGCGGUCUCGAGUCCGGGAGAGGUGAGUGGAACUGCGAGUGUAGAGGUGAAAUUCGUAGAUAUUCGCAAGAACACCAGUGGCGAAGGCGGCUCACUGGCCCGGUACUGGCGCUGAGGUGCGAAAGCGUGGGGAGCAAACAGG